AGGAAGAAGAGGGUUUAAGGGGGAUUAGUGGGGCCCAACAACACGCUGUCUGGAGACACCUGCAGCCUUAGCUAGUGCAGAAUGGGGGCGCCCCUCCCCUCCCCGCCCCGGGGAGGGAAGGGCCGUGGGGCCACAUCAGGCCCUGGGAGCUUAAGUUCACUUGAGCCAAGCUUCUCCCACUAGUUUUACCAAUGGGAAAACUGAGUCCCGGGAAGGAGCAGGGACCUCACUCCUCAACCCCAAGUCAGUGACAGAACUGGGAGUAGGAUCCAGUGUCCUGACUCCUGGCUGGCAGCUCUUCCUGUCACACUUACACAUCCUCUAACACGCAAUCGAGUCCCCAUUCUGGAAACCGGUCAGCCUAUCCUGGGAAUGUUCGAAUGGGUGGCCUAGAGGCUGUUGGCUGUGGGUCCUCCAGGUGGAUCCUUUGUUGUAAAGAAGUCACUGAGACACCAAGAAGAGGCACUGAGCCUAAGCCAGGAUGGUGCCAGCCUGAGGCUGUGGCUGUCUCCUGUGCCAGCUAAUCCUGGUUUCUGCCUACUCCUGAGCUGAGGGCUGGAGAGAAUAAAACCCCCAAACUGGAGAUGAAAUGAAGAGAAGACAAUUGUUCCUGCCUUUCAGGGCCUCUGUGGGGAUUAAACCAGUGCAUGGAUGUGAAUAAUGCCCUAACCCACUAGCACUCACCGAGGCUGCCAGUGCACUCACUCAGUCCUCGUCACAACCAAGGAGUGUGGCAGGAUUGAACUGCAUGACUGCCCGGAGCUGUGAGUGAUUGGACUCAGGUUGGACAUGUGCCCUACUGGAGGCCAGUGUGUGCUCUCCCGCCAACAUUAGGCUUCGUGAAGAGAGGGAGAGGGAAGCCACGGCCAUUCGGUUUGCACGUGGCUGGGCCAGAAGAGUAGACACGAUUGCUCAGGAGGCCCUGGUCCCGGAGGAUCGAGAGGUGAUAUGUGACAAGGAGGAAGAGGAACAAGCCAAUAGGUAGAGAGGGGUGGAGAGGAGAGAGAAUUGGUGCCCACAGCUCCCAGCUGCAAUUCCAGUCUCCCCAGGACCUCGCCCUUCUUGCUAACCCACAAAGAGGAAUCUGGAAGCCUCAUAAAUAAGUCCCCCUUUUUGCUGAACCCAAUUUGCAUGAUUUUCUCUGGCUCAAAACUCGAGCCCGCCCAGCGCAGCCUUACUGCCAUCCAGGCCAGGAAGCACCCGGAUGUGGAGGUUGCCUCCAUCCUCCAGGCGCCUCCAUCAGAAAGGCUGGGAGAGAAGAGGAGCUGUGACAGGAGUAUCUGGCGUCCCAGGACUCUGGGGACAGAACUGGGCUGUGACCCCAGAAGCCGCCAAGGUCCAGGGCUCCCCUCUUGCUCUCUGAGCACCAGGCAGGGGCUGGAGCUCACGCUAGCCCUGUCUGUCUAAAGCCGUUGUCUUGAACGUCUGAACACUUGCAGGCUAGGAGGCUGGAGCCUGCCCCACCUGCUUGGUGUUUAUUCCACCCCUCCCACGCGUGAUUGCUUUCUCCCCCUCGGGGAAGCUUUUCUGGAUCUUCCCAUCAGGACAAAUUGUUCUCCUUCCCACUUUCUUGGAAGUUCCUCUGUGGAAGCCGUAGCCCUGCCCAAGCGAGCUGUCUGGGUACAAGGGCCCCCCACAGGCUUCAGAGGAAGGGGAGGUGGGUUCAAAUCCCAGCACUCCCACCUGCUUCUGUUUCUGAGAUGCAGGUGGAAAUGGGGUGUUUCAAGGGACUUGUGAUGCCGUCCACGCAGCGCACUCUGUGCCACCCUGGUGUUCAGUGAAAUCUCAAAAAAUGGUUGCUAGCCGAAGGUUUGUGUAUGCA